rnacentral:lncRNA from 1 species
GAACCACAACCUCAUGGUUCCUAUUGGAUUUGUUUCCGCUGUGCCACAAUGGGAACUCCUUCAUUUCUUUCUUCAGAGGGUCUGUUCAAGUGCCUGGCUGCACAAAAAGAAAUCAGCCACCCUUUAAAGAUGUUGCUCCACAAAAUCGAAUUCAAAAAUUUUUUAACUCUUUAAAUGCUUCAUCUACACAGUUGGUGGUGCGGAGCAAUAAUGAACUUCACCCAUGAUUCUUCUGAUGGGGUGGACUGUGCUGUGCUUUUUUUCCUGUGACCAGAGAGAGAGGAUUCUUCUGAACCAGUCAGACAUAGGAAGCCGAAAACAGAAGACCUAAUGAAAGUGAUAUUUGAGAGAGAGAAGAAAAAAAUAUGUUGGAGGAUGAGAUUGUAAGAAAAGUAUUUCAGGAAAGCUCACACCUUAUCAGGGCGAUGAAAACUCUGAGCACUUAAAGUACUUGUAGAUGUUUACCUAGUCUUUAGUUAAAUAUUGCUGUGCUUUAUUUUAAGAAAUGAUGCUACUUUCGGUUUUACAAAUGGUUUUCUUAAAUGGAUCCGAGCUUGUUUAUUCCUGUCACUGAAGUGUUUUUCUCUAAAUAAAUCAACUUGCCUCAGCACCUUUUAAGUACAGAUACCUCUGGUAUAUUGGCUAAGUUUUGUUUUGGUUUAUAAAACUUGACUAGAUGCCACUUUGAGGGAACAAAGUCAAUCCAUUAAAUAAAGUCUCUCUGUAAAACGUUCUGCUUUGCCAUAUUGCCGACCAGCACAGGUAAGUCAGUGGCUAAUAUAUAGAAGUAGAGGUUUUCCUUUCACCUGCAGAGUCUAUACAGCCUGUCACCUCUUUUCCCCUUGCAGUGGGGUUGACUAGUCAUGAUUGCCAGCUGAAGAAUAUUUCCGAUUGAUUUCAGAAGAAUGUUGGAACUUUACCGUUAGAAUCAAGGAAAAGACAGGUUAUGUUAUAAUGUGGCUGAGAUACGUUUCUAAGGCUUCAAAGGUUGGAUUAUUUAUAUGAGCCUAAUGAGGCUUUAACAUUUUUUUAAAAUGAUUUUUACUUUUUCCAUUAUAGCUGGUUUACAGUGUUCUGUUAAUUUUCUACUGUACAGCAAGGUGACCCAGUCACACAUGCCUGUAUACAUUCUUUUUCUCACAUUCUCCUCCAUCCUGCUCCCUGGGCCCUGGUAAGUCCCAAUGAGAUGUUAAUAUUUGAGUCUCUUUGGCACAACUUUCUUGGCUUCAGGGACCACUGUGCAAACUAAAACAAAAGCUUCAAGAAGCCAAGAAAUUGAGUCUGAGCAUCACAGUUUAUGUGCCCAAGUGAAAAUAACUUCACCUUUUGAUGUUUCUCUCUAUAGUACAUCCAGUGGCAGAAUUUUCCAUAGCAUCGUUCUUCUGUAGACUUAGAAAAAUGCAAGCUAUUUUAAAAGCUUAACAGUCCAAACUGUCCCUUAGUUUGGAUUCAGAGUUUUUAGGCCUAAAGAUUUGCUUUGAUACUGGAAGUAUAUUUUCCCUAAAACAGCCCUGUUUUUUUAAAUAAUAAAGAUCACGACAGUAUAACCAUUUCUAAGGAUGCUCUUGAGUUGCAAACCAGAUAUUACUGGAUUUUUUUUUUAGCUCUGGGAACAAGAGGUGAAGAACUCCUUUCCCCCCAUGUGGGUGGGUAAUUUCAAAAUAAAAAGUGAGGGUAAAAGGAACAGUUAAUAACAUAAUCCAUACGUUUCUUCGUGAGGAGGAAAUAAAAAGAUCAAGGAGAAACGACUAGAUCUUAGUUAUGACCAGCCUUUAUUAUGGGAAGAGAUUAAUUCGAGUGGACUAACUAUAUCUAAAAUUAGAACUGUGGGAAAAGGAUUAUACGCAACAAAAUGCAAAAGAUUAAUGUGGAAGCAUGAGGCCUAAGGAUCGGAUAGCCUUAAAAUACUAAUCUACGGUAAACUUGCUCACACGGUUCCAUGCUGUCAGUGAGGAAACAGAGAAACAAGAAUGGUGUCAGUUGAGCCAAAGGUUUUGUUAAUUAGUCUUUGGUUAAUAACUCGUUUUAGAAGACAUCAUCUGGCUUGAUGUGCAGCUUUUUGGACAAGGUAUCGGAAGUAACCUGUAAUUUCCGACGGCUCCUUGCUCAUUAGGACAGGCACUUAGCUUCACAUGGUGGGUGUUACACUUCGGUUAGCUUUUAACCUUAGGAGACAGACUUGAUUGUGAUCGGGAGCCUUUUUCUCAAGCCCACAGUAAUUAUUAAUUUGCUUCCCUGGAACAGCUAACAGUAGUGGACGCCAUGGCGAGAUUUCGAGAUGUUUGACCACAGAAGAAGACUUGUCUUGAGAUGCCUAAACACUGCAUGUCCCAGAGUCCCUUUAGGGGGAAACUGUUGAGAAAGUCUGUAAUGGCUGUGCCCUAAGUGAGCACCAGUCGUACCCAUGUGUGCAGUGGGAGGUGGGAGGAAGGGAGGCUGAGAAGCCUGUAUCCGGAAAGGUAUCGAAUCUGUUGAGUCCAGUUGAGCUCUAUGGACUGUAAGACUUUAAUGGCUGAAUCUACGUUCUUUUCAUGUCAUCUGCAAUGAGGAGACAAGUGUUUCUAAUUCCAUCUCAGGCAUAUUUAAAAAUUGUUAAAAAUUAUUCGUUGUAGUAACACCUUUUCACAUGGUCUCUUGAAUGGGUUAUGUAGUGGAAAAAGUAAGUAGGUGUUCCUAUCACAUGAGGUGGGAACCGAGGACCAGACCUGAAGGCUGACCUUCUUGGGGUGAUUUUUGAAAGCGCCCUUAUACCACCCAGAACUUGUGCCUUGAAUUCUGUGGGAAAUGCCGUCAUAGAGAUUUUGACCUUGGAAUGUCUGUGGAAGCUGCCUUUGGCAGAAGCGGCUGCUGGCUACCAUUCCUCUAAUGAACAAGCCUACAUUCAUUUCCAAAUCCCUUUUACAAAAUAAUUUGGUUGGUUUGAGUGAUUGCAUUUGGAAUGUCGGGCCCUGUGCCCUUUCCCUGUGCCAUUAGAGGCCUUGCAGGAGGGAGAGAAUCUAGUCAACCCGGAUCAUUUGAUCAUUUGAGCCGUCGGAAAUUACGUUUGGGCGUGUUAUUUUUGCAGUUGGAGAGACGGUUCUGCUCUUUUUCCCUGCUACAGCUUGUUCAAUUCCAUUGGGCUGGGAUAUAAAAAUUGACCAGAGGAAUGAAUCGGGGCUGUCCAAAAUAUGUUUAGUGUUAUAGUCUUCUAUCUUGUUAGGAAUUCAUUUUUUUUUCCCCCACACUGGAAUAUGGAAGCCCUACAAAGAUAAUCAAGGUUAAGGUCAUGAUUCUACUACCAGAGCCUUAUAUGAAUAUAUAUAUUAUAUAAAAUUAUUAUUAUUAGCAAAUACUUAUAUGGUACUUACUAAGAACCAGACACACUGUACUAAGCAUUUAUUUAUUUAUUUAUUUAUUUAUUGUCUUUUUGCCGUUUCUAGGGCCACUUCUGUGGCAUAUGGAGGUUCCCAGGCUAGGGGUCUAAUCGGAGCUGUAGCCGCCGGCCUACGCCACAGCCACAGCAACACGGGAUCAGAGCUGCGUCUGUAACCUACACCACAGCUCUCAUCAAAGCCGAAUCCUUAACCCCCUGAGCAAGGCCAGGGAUCGAACCCACAACCUCAUGGUUCCCAGUCGGAUUCGUUAACCACUGAGCCAUGAUGGGAACUCCUGAAAUUCUUACUUGAGAGAGAAGGACAAGUGUUUUAAGCAAAUCUGAGGGAGUGUUUGGAUCAGUAAAAUUAGGAGCCCCAGACAUUUACUUUUGGAUUGUAGCGAAAAAGAUAAGAUAAUGGCCUUCCCUAUAAUUAGGAUUUUAUUUCUAUUAAAACUCUAAAAACCACCACAAAUUAUACUGAAGAUGCAAGAGGAGACAAGGUCCUACUGUAUGUAGCACAGGGUACUAUAUUCAGUGUCUUGUAAUAAACCAUAAUGGAAAAGAAUAUGAAAAAAUUAUAACUGAAUCACUUUGCCUUAUACCAGCAUUGUAAAUUAACCAUACUUCAUUUUUUCUUUUUUUUUUUUUUGAAAAAGGAGGGAAUUCCUGACGUGGUGCAACAGGUUAAGUAUCUGGCAUUGUCUCUGGAUGGUGUGGGUUGGAUUCCCAGCCUGCUGCAGUGGGUUACAGAUCCGACGUGGCCGCAGCUGUGGUAGGUUGCAGCUGAGGCUGGGAUUUGACCCCUCGUUGGGGAACUCCAUAUGUUGGAGGUGCGGCAAAAAAAAAAAAAAAAAAAAAAAAAAAGGAAAAGGAAAAAGAGGAAACAGACCUUCAUUUUGAGAACAAAAAAUAGGACUUUUUUAUUCUGCUGAGAAAGAGGAAAGACGAAGUCCGGCACCAGGCUGUGCUGGAAGGAGAGAUUCCAGAAUGAGGGGCGGUGCCUAGGUUAUUAGCGCUCUGAGCGCGGAUCCUGCAGAGGUGGUCUCAGGAGCUGGGCUCUGUAUCUGCGGGUGAAGUACCCCAUGCUUUUUAAAAGUCUCAUCUGCCGGGGGAGAUGUAAAUGCAAAGUGCUAAUCCUUUGUCAUCAAUAACAGUCCCAUGACACUGCUUUCCAAGACAAGUGUUACUGAUUCAAUUUGGUUGGCUGUGUUUAGCU